rnacentral:rRNA from 1 species
GACGAACGCUGGCGGCGUGCCUAAUACAUGCAAGUAGAACGCAGUUGCGAACGGGUGCGUAACGCGUAGGUAACUGCCUCAUAGCGGGGAAUAACUAUGGGAAACGAUAGCUAAUACCGCAUACUGUGAGAUGGACCUGCGUUGUAUUAGCUAGUUGGUGAGGUAAAGGCUCAACAAGGCGACGAACAAUAGCCGACCGGAUAGGGUUGUCCGGCAAACUGGGGACGAGACACGGCCCAGACUCCUACGGGAGGCAGCCAGAGGGAAUCUUCGGCAAUGGAAGGAAGUCUGACCGAGCAAAGCCGCGUGAGUGAAGGAGGUUUUCGGAUUGUAAAGCUCUGUUGUUAGAGAAGCGGUAACUAACCAGAAAGGGACGGCUAACUACGUGCCAGCCGCCGCGGUAAUUC